rfam:Clunio marinus genome assembly, contig: CLTMA_scaffold_023511
AGGAAUUGACGGAAGAUCACACAAUGACUUGGAAUAUGCGGCUUAAUUUGUCUCAACACGGGAAAACUUACCAGGUCCGAACUUGAUAGGGUAUGACAAUU